rnacentral:rRNA from 1 species
CCUACGGGAGGCAGCAGUGAGGAAUAUUGGUCAAUGGGCGGGCGCCUGAACCAGCCAAGUCGCGUGAGGGAAGAAGGUACAGCGUAUCGUAAACCUCUUUUGUCAGGGAACAAAGGCGGGGACUAGUCCCCGGAUGAGGGUACCUGAAGAAAAAGCAUCGGCUAACUCCGUGCCAGCAGCCGCGGUAAUACGGAGGAUGCGAGCGUUAUCCGGAUUUAUUGGGUUUAAAGGGUGCGCAGGCGGCCUGUUAAGUCAGCGGGAAAAGCCCGGGGCUCAACCCCGGCGAGCCGUUGAAACUGGCGGGCUGGAGUGGGAGAGAAGUACGCGGAAUGCGCGGUGUAGCGGUGAAAUGCUUAGAUAUCGCGCAGAACCCCGAUUGCGAAGGCAGCGUACCGGCUCCACACUGACGCUGAUGCACGAAAGCGUGGGUAUCGAACAGGAUUAGAUACCCCUGUAGUC